AGAGUUUGAUCCUGGCUCAGGACGAACGCUGGCGGCGUGCCUGGAAUACAUGCAAGUCGAGCGAAUCGAUGGGAGCUUGCUCCCUGAGAUUAGCGGCGGACGGGUGAGUAACACUAGUGGGCAACCUGCCUAUAAGACUGGGAUAACUUCGGGAAACCGGAGCUAAUACCGGAUACGUUCUUUUCUGCCGCAUGAGAGAAGAUGGAAAGACGGUUUCGGCUGUCACUUAUAGAUGGGCCCGCGGCGCAUUAGCUAGUUCCGGUGAGGUAAUGGCUCACCAAGGCGACGAUGCGUAGCAGACCUGAGAGGGUGAUCGGCCACACUGGGACUCAGAGACACGGCCCAGACUCCUACGGGAGGCAGCAGUAGGGAAUCUUCCGCAAUGGACGAAAGUCUGACGGAGGGCAACGCCGCGUGAACGAAGAAGGCCUUCGGGUCGUAAAGUUCUGUUGUUAGGGAAGAACAAGUACCAGACAGUAACUGCUGGUACCUUGACGGUACCUAACCAGAAAGCCACGGCUAACUACGUGCCAGCAGCCGCGGUAAUUUACGUAGGUGGCAAGCGUUGUCCGGAAUUAUUGGGCGUAAAGCGCGCGCAGGUGGUUCCUUAAGUCUGAUAGGUGAAAGCCCACGGCUCAACCGUGGAGGGUCAUUGGAAACUGGGGAACUUGAGUGCAGAAGAGGAAAGUGCUGAAUUCCAAGUGUAGCGGUGAAAUGCGUAGAGAUUUGGAGGAACACCAGUGGCGAAGCCGACUUUCUGGUUCCUGUAACUGACACUGAGGCGCGAAAGCGUGGGGAGCAAACAGGAUUAGAUACCCUGGUAGUCCACGCCGUUUAAACGAUGAGUGCUAAGUGUUAGAGGGUUUCCGCCCUUUAGUGCUGCAGCUAACGCAUUAAGCACUCCGCACCUGGGGAGUACGGCCGCAAGGCUGAAACUCAAAGGAAUUGACGGGCGCCCGCACAAGCGGUGGAGCAUGUGGGGUUUAAUUCGAAGCAACGCGAAGAACCUUACCAGGUCUUGACAUCCUCUGACAACCCUAGAGAUAGGGCACGUUCCCCUUCGGAGGACAGAGUGACAGGUGGUGCAUGGUUGUCGUCAGCUCGUGUCGUGAGAUGUUGGGUCUUAAGUCCCGCAACGAGCGCAACCCUUGAUCUUAGUUGCCAGCAUUCAGUUGGGCACUCUAAGGUGACUGCCGCGGUGACAAACCGGAGGAAGGUGGGGAUGACGUCAAAUCAUCAUGCCCCUUAUGACCUGGGCUACACACGCCUGCUACAAUGGAUGGUACAUAGGGCUGCAAACCUGCGAAGGUAAGCGAAUCCCAUAAAGCCAUUCUCAGUGUUCGGAUUGUAGGCUGCAACUCGCCUACAUGAAGCCGGAAUCGCUAGUAAUCGCGGAUCAGCAUGCCGCGGAGUGAAUACGUUCCCGGGCCUUGUACACACCGCCCGUCACACCACGAGAGUUUGUAACACCCGAAGUCGGUGGAAGGUAACCUUUAUGGAGCCAGCCGCCUAAGGUGGGACAGAUGAUUGGGGUGAAGUCGUAACAAGGUAACC
rnacentral:rRNA from 1 species